rnacentral:rRNA from 1 species
UACAGAGGGUGCGAGCGUUAAUCGGAAUUACUGGGCGUAAAGGGUGCGUAGGUGGUUACGUAAGUUAGGUGUGAAAUUCCUGGGCUCAACCUGGGGACUGCGCCUAAUACUGCGAGACUAGAGUACUGUAGAGGAAGGUGGAAUUUCCAGUGUAGCGGUGAAAUGCGUAGAUAUUGGAAGGAACAUCGGUGGCGAAGGCGACCUUCUGGACAGAUACUGACACUGAGGCACGAAAGCAUGGGGAGCGAAUGGG